AGUUUCUUUGUUUUGUUUUGCAAUGGCAAUGUUUAUCUAGUGGCAGAUGGGAACUGUUAGGAUAGGGAUUAAGGUGCAGAAGUGGACCACGAGACCAGCCCUCUGGGCCGGUGAUGCACGUGGUUAGGGUAUGGUCGGACCCUCCACUUGUCUCCUCUUCGACCCAGUCUAUGUCGGACCCACUUUGGGCCACGCAGGUCUCUCUUUCAUGGUGCCAACAAAUAAUUGUCUCUUUUUCUCUUCUUUCUUCCCAAUUUAUUGGUUCAACUGUUAACAAGUUUUUCCCUUUAAAUGUGACAAUGUGCCUCUUUAUUACCUCUUUUUGGGGGAGUUUACACAAUUUAAAGAUUACUUUGGUUGACAAAAGAAAAAAAGGUUUCCAAAAUUCACGAGUCAUAAUUAAAAAGUUAUUA